rnacentral:rRNA from 1 species
CCUACGGGAGGCAGCAGUGGGGGAUAUUGCACAAUGGGGGGAACCCUGAUGCAGCGACGCCGCGUGGGUGAAGGAGCGUUUCGGCGCGUAAAGCCCUAUCGGCAGGGAAUAAGGAGGAGGGAACCUGACUAAGAAGCCCCGGCUAACGACGGGCCAGCAGCCGCGGUAAUACGUAGGGGGCAAGCGUUACCCGGAUUUACUGGGUGUAAAGGGGGCGCAGACGGCACCGCAAGCCAGGAGUGAAAGCCCGGGGCCAAACCCCGGGAGUGCUCUGGGGACGGGGCGGCUGGAGUGCAGGAGGGGCAGGCGGAAGUCCUGGUGUAGCGGGGAAAUGCGUAGAUAUCAGGAGGAACACCGGUGGCGAAGGCGGCCUGCUGGACUGCGACUGACGUUGAGGCCCGAAAGCGUGGGGAGCAAACAGGAUUAGAUACCCUGGUAGUC